CCGGGCGGUCUCCUCGGGCUGCGGGGCCGUAGGCGCCUUGCUUCCCCGUCCCCUCCUCUCCAGGUCCCCCGUACCCCCUCCCCCGCCCUGAUCCGGCGGCGAAGGGGUGGGCAGGGAAACGCGCUCUCUGGGACAGGUGCCAACUCCGAGACAAAAGACAUAAAAUAGGCGGCAACGGGGGAAGCGCGGCCGGCGCGCUCGGGCGGGGACGGAGGCGCCGCGGGGGCCGCAUCCUCGGUGCCGACCCGGGAAAGUUUGGGAAGUCGCCGCGGCGGCUUCGCAGCGGCGGGGGACACACGGGCCGGGCCGCCCUCCGCGCCGCGCUCGCCCUCUCCGCGCCGCUGCUGAAUAAUUCAUGGCGCGGCCGCCGGCCAUUAGCAUGCACCGGGCGCGCGGCGCGUCUGUGCCCAGCCGCCGCCGCCGCAUUCGGCGCCCCGGCCGCACUAGACGAGCGGCCGCGCGGAGGCCGGGCCCGCGUUGCCCCCGCGCUCGCCCGCCGGUCCGCCGGCCCGGCGGCUUUCAUUGUGCCCCGGGCCCGCGCCGCCCGGCCGUCCGGUGACCGUCCGCACCCCGCAGCGCGCCCGACGGCCAGUCGCUGGAAGUUCGGGCCCGCGGAGCCCGGCCGGCAGCCCCGGGAUGCACGUGAACUUGGAGAAAGUCGCGGGGCGCGCCGGCGCGGACCUCCGCUGCAGGGCGUGGGCGUCCCCGGCCCCGCGCGCUUUCGUUUUCGUCCGGGACAAAGGUCCCUCGCGGCGCAGGUCGCGGACGUGGAGAUCGUGUCCUGCGGGCCACUCUGCGGGGAGGUCCGGUCGUUCAACACAGGGAAGCCGGAGCCAGGAGAAGUGGAGCAGCGCGGUCCGAGGCGCGGCGCGGGACCAGGGGAGUGGGGCCUGGCCGUGCGCUUCGCCCGCGCCGUCCCGGAGCUGUCGCGCCCCUGCCACGAGUUGUGGGACAUGGCACCGCUUUGCUCUCUGCCCUUUUCGCCGCGUAAAGGAGAGAAUCACUUGGAACCCACGACUCAGACCGAUGGCCGAGGGCCUGUGCAGCCGUGGGCACGAUAGCGCAGCGCCGGCUGCGUCCGGGCGCGUCCCUCCGGCAAGGGCAGAGCGCCCCUGUCUCGAUUGGGUUCACUCUCGAUUCUUGAGGCCGGUAAGUGCAUUUCUCACUUUCGCUACUUAGUGAAUAUUUAAAUAUUAAUGAAGGGAUUUCUAAGAAGAGCCCUUCUGUAGGGCAGGCCUUCCACAGACCAGGGGACCCGGGAAGGAGGUCGUUCUUGAACCUGAAGCCGCACCAGCUUGCAAGAACUCCAUGGCCGUCAUUAAAAUUCUGGAACUUGGAAUUUGUGAAAUACAGCUUCCGAUCUCAGGUGUGUGCCGGCCAUUUGCCAGAGAGAAUUUUGUUGAACACAUAAAAUACCGUUAGCAGGCAUCUUACGUAGAAUAGAAGGAAAAGAGAACACAUCUGUUUUUAGAUUAGAUGUGUUCGGAAAGGUUAAUUGGAAGCUACAGUCCAGCAGUGCUUCUUAUUUUUUUCUGCUGGUCAGGCAUUUAUGAAGAGCUGGUUUAGGGCGGCCCUCGGUCAACCACUGGCCGAUUGGGCCGGUGGAGUGAAAGCCCUGUGCGUGGAAGCUGCUGUUUAUGGUGGCAUAAAACGAAAAACAACUCAUAACUUUUCAUAAUAAAUCCCCCUUUAUAGGUGGGUCACAUACGGGCCCAGCCGGCAGCCCUGGGGAAUUUGUGGGGAGCAAGAAAGGGGGUGGAGGAAUGCACAUUGGCCGUAAUUACAGGGUUUUAAGGUAACACUGAAAUUAAUUUCUUCAGAGUUGGGCUUCAGAGGCCAAGGCAGCCUCUGCAGGCCAGCACUAUGUUCAUUUUAUUUUAGUUUGUCGGUUCUAGCUAUUUGGGAUUUUCAAAUGCUUGUUUGUACUUGCGUGUACCUAUCCUGUUAAAAUGAAACCUGUAACGGGGGGGGAUUAACCCGGUUUUUGCUAUGAUCAUAUCGCAGGUGUGAUUUCCCCUCUACUCUCCCCCAUCUUGUUGAUGUGGUUUGGACAACCUUGCUGGGUGCCUUGACCACAAAAUAAUGGGGAGGGGGGCCUGCUUCCCUAACACCCGGGAGUGUGAGCUGGCACUCGGAGGCUGUGUUUCCGGGAACGUGGACAGAGGCCUGAGUAGCCCAGGCCUGCCUCAUGCCUCCCUCUCCCCGGGCUGCCUGGUUUUCAGGUCUGAGGGGAGAACCCAGAGGGACAAGGAGACCCCUUCAAUAAGGUCUUGCCCACCUGGCGCCGAGGCUGAAAGUUUGCUUCGUACUGUAGAGCUGUCCUCGCCAUCUUCUUUUGCUAGGCCAUCCUCUGCUCCCUCGGUCCCCUGUUUUACAUUUGUAUUUAUGACUUUAUCAGAGGCAGUUAGCAGACAUGAAACCCGGGGGUGGGACAUUGGGGAGUGAUCUCAGAAACCGGGGCGCAGCUGCGGAAGGCAUGCCAGUUCGGCCGCGAGCUGCUGCUUGCCGUGGCAUUGGCGGUGACGGGUUAGUAAUUACGGAAAGCCCAGCUUCUGUCGGGGCCUUGCCUGUAAAAUGCGGGAGACGUUUUCUCAGGUCCACAGAUGACCCGUAACGUAGCACACGAUGGGCAGGGAUGGUGUGGCGUUCUGCUCAGACUGUCGGGAAUCCCCCAGGAUUAAAACAGACCCCGAAACAAGGGGCAUGGGUUGCUCCCUCUCCGCGGGCCUACGGGCCAUACGCUGGGAGCUGGGCAAGGCCUGAGCAUCCGAGGGCCACUCAGUGGGGGGUUGCUGUUCGUCACAGCUCCAGAGGUCCAUCGCCUGCCCCGUGUGUGCCCCGGGCAAAGGGAAUGUGAUGGGGCUGAGAGUCCACUGCCAACAUCGGGGCCUGCCCCGCAGACGGAGGCCCUGCCUCGGCACCAAGCCAUCCUGUCCUGCCGUUGUCCUGUCCUUAGAGCCAGCCCAGUUCCACUGGAGACUCCCAGUGGAGACCCGGGUCCCGCCAGGGGCUUCUUACUACGUAGGGAUGUCUCACCCGGAUAAAAAUGUAUUUUUGAGGACGAGGACGCAAGACGAGGUUCGGAAAAUGAAACUGGCGCCUGUCUGGUUUUUAUCACUCUGGAUUUAAGGGAAAGAAUGUGCUAAGCAGGGCACAGGGUCUUGUGGACCGGGGCGGGCUGGCGGGAGGACGGCCUUCGUGUUCUUGUUUUUGUUUUCAGCCAGGGCCGGGCCCGCCGUGGCCCCUGGCCUGCACUGGGGCCUUGCCGUGCCCCGCCUCUGGCCACUUGAGGCCCCCGAUUCUGGCCUGGGCGUCUCCAGGGUGUGGGUGAAGCUGGCUGCCCAGGUCUCACACGCCGCCUGAACAGGUGCAGACAACAUCUUGCUUGGCUCCACGGAAACAGCAGGGAGCUUUGCGGCGGGGCUGCUUUCGGGUCCCUGUGGCCACCGUGGAUGACGCCGUGCACGGGUCUCACUUGCUGCCAUUCUCACCCCGGCGCGGACGAGGCCUGACCGGAAGGCAGAAGGUGGGGCCCAGGGAGGGGCCAGAGGGCUUUGCCCACCCUGACGGUCACCCUGCCCGGGUGGGUGCUCCUUGGUGUCCGGGGAAACCGACAUGUACCUCAAGUGAGGGACGGCGCUCGGGAAGGGAAGGAGGCCCCAGAGGCCGGGCAGGAAAACAUCUUAAAAGCAUCACACCUGGCUGUUGUCGGGCUGGGAGGGUGUAUCUGCAUGUCUAGGGAGAACAGAGAAUGCCCUUGCGGAAAUCCCGUGAAGGGGGGCUGUCCUAGCUCACGUCCAGGCAGCUCCCAUCCGGCCCCCACCCCGGGCUCACCAUGAGACCCUGGACAAGUGGCAUCACCUCCCGGGACUGCACCCCAAGCUCUAGAGCAAAAAUAAGAAUCCCAACCUCAGAGGGUGAUUCGGAAGGUUCAGACAACAUUAUUUCCACAGACCACGGUUCCUGGCACGCGGCAGGGACGCCGUAAAUGGCUGUUGUAAUUGUUUUCAUUGUAACUAGUGAUCGCCACUUUUAUUGCUGGUUAUUAUUAUAUUUUUGAGUUUCUAAGAAGCAGGGAACCUAGUUUUGGUUUCAUUAGAAAGGACACCUGAGAGUUUACCAUCGCCACCCCCCCCCCCCCCCGGUGAUAGCGAAAGUGAACCUUGAUCUUUUCAACAUAGAGUGUCAGGAACUUGCAAAGCCAGGGCUUCCCUUACCCCAGGGACUUGGCUUAGGGACGUGCUUACGGAGGAGGUGCCCCUUCCUCGGCACCUAGGAAGUCGAGACCUCCCCAGUGAUGGCACCUGAGGAACCCACCUGGGCGCUGGCCCCAGGGGGCCGACCAGGGCGAGACAAGGGCAAGACACCGUGACUCAGGGGUCCAGAGUGGCCCACCCCAGCCGCCAGCCUCCUUGCGGGCAAUGCAGGUAGCAGUUGGAUGGGAGGGUUUAACCACUCUGAUGAGCUAAUUGUUCUUUGGCCCCACACAAGCGAACGUUUACCAAAACGCUUGCUUUGGGAGAAUUUUCUCUCUCAGCUGAUCAUCCAGGAAGACCCGGCAAGAUUGCCCUUUCUCAAAACAUCUUGUUGGAACAAGAAAGAACCCCAGAUGGUACCAGCCAUGCUUUCUGAUGUUACGGAGCCGAGGAGGGAGAAAAAGCAACAAUUGUCUCUGGGCAAAGACAAUGGACCUUUUAUAUGAAAUAUUUAUUUUCAGGGCUGACCAGUGUCCCGUUGGCUGGGCCAGUGGAGCGCCAGUGUCUGAGCAUCACAGGUCCUGAGAACUGAGUCAGGGAUGAGAUUUACAGAAAAGGAAAAAAAGAAAGUCCCCUGACCUGUGGUUCUUGGGAAAUUUCAGUGGGAAUGUCUGGCUUUUUUUUUUUUUUUUUUUUUUUAAUCGAGUGGAGUUUAAACUUUCACAAGUUUAUUUUUUCUUCCUCUGUGAUUUCUUCUGCAAGGCCACAGGGGCAUGUUGGCAAGCAUUGGAAAGGUAGCCAGGUCGGCCUUUGUCUGCUGGGAGAUGGCAGAAUGGAAGUGAGACAAACUCACUUUGUCGGAGUUUAAGAAGAGGAAGGGUCUGUCCCCAGGGGGUGGGGGGAAAGCCACCAAGAGCAAUUGGGGACAAUAUUUGUGAUUCUCUGGUGUCCUUCACUCCUCCCCGAUCCUGUUCUCCGAUGAACUUGGGAUCUGACCUGACUUGGCGAAGCCACACAUGGUCUCUCGAACACCCUUCCAGCUGGACAAGCCUGGCGGCCCAGAGUUGAGCCGGAUGGACAUUUUCUGAAGAAACAGAAGGAACGGGAUUUUACUCUGAGGCCUUCUUAGGAGCCACCUCCAUCUUCCCCGCUCUGGGGCUGCCGGUGGCGCUAGAGCUGCCGACCCUGGCUUCUGCCGACCCAAGGUCCAGCUUCAGUGCAGCCAGGAAGGCGCCCUGGGAAGCAAGGCCUGGAUCCCAGGCUCACGUUAGGGACUCCGGGAGGAACUGAUCAGGCUGGGGCUCGUGAUGGAAACAUCGGAGAAUCAGUCUUCCUGGCGUUGGGAAGGCCGUGGCGGACAAUCGGCUGAGACCCCCCACCAGCUUAGGGGGUCCUCAGACUGGUAGGCGGAGGACAGAAGAGGGAGUGGCCCCGAUCAGGGUGGACGAAGACGGGCCCCUCCCUGUCAGGCUUCCCCUUUACCCCAAAGACUUGGUUGGCAAAUUAUAAUAUCUGGCUUCAAAAAUGAGGUUUUGUUUUUUAAAUCGCUGUCGCGUCUUUAAAAACACAAAAAUCCUGGAACCUCUUAGCUGUGGUCUGUUUCACCUUCUGCAUUAACCCCCCCCCAAAAAAAAACGCUAUGAAGAGAGUUCUCUUUGGGGGUAACCGCAACAGUCUCUGAGGCCACGAGUAGAGUUGGUAAGAUUGGAAUGGAAAAGACUGAAAUCUCCUGACAUGAGGCAGAACGACCGUAAAAUGCAAGCUUUUAUUUACUGGGUUUUUUUGUUUGUUUGUUUGUUUUAACGGAGAGGGGUUUGAAAGUAAAAUGCUGCAAAGUCUCACUGUGAAAUUUUGGACGGGAAACUUGUUUCGGUCCGUAUGCAGGAGUCUUGCCUUAGGGAUGGCUCAGAAUCCCUGUGGAUGGAUAAAUCGGGCACCUCUGCAAACGGCCGGCCAGGCCCACUGUUGAAUCAGCGGCUAAGAGGUUUUCUGAGUAGAUAUAUGACCCCAGAGGUGAUGGUUAUUACUGCUGAAUGAGCCUGGUAGUUGUGGUGAGAAAAUGUGUGCAUGGGACGUACAAAGUAAAGGCCAAAUUAUCUUUUUCUGUUUUUGGAGUAAUAGAAUUUCCCCUUAAGAUGGAAAACAAGAAUGUUGUCCCUGUUGCCCCGGUUUCUAAAGGCAGGGCUGGGUUUUUCUGCGAAUCGCCCUUCCUUUAAUUCUAGGAUGUCAGAUGGUUAGGAAGAGCAUUUAGCUGAAAUAUUUACCUGCUGAUUUGGGGCUCUUCAAUCUAGAUUCGUCUUUCAUGUGUUUAAGAGCGAUAUUUACAUUCAAAUCAGCCUUUUAUAAUUACAUUUUAAAUUAUAAUGAAAUGAUGGAGCCGGGGCUUCAGUCUUCCAUAUGUUUUAACAGUGAGAGACGCACUGGUGGGUUGCAUAUCACAUCACCAGCCCUGGGCUCCGAGCAGGCGUGAACAGGCACCAGACACGCAGGUGCCGGCCUGCAGGGCCACAUGUGUGUCCUGAGGAUGUCAGGGUCCCUGCGUGUCACCUGUGGAGCCCUCCCCGCCCCGCCAGGGGGAGAAGGGCUUGUGGAUGGGGAUCCUGGCCCCGGCGCUGUGGUUCGGCUGCCAAACCUCACAGCGUGCAGUGCAUCCGAGAAGGGCCUGGUCUGGGCCUGGCUGCCCCUCCGCCCUGGCUGAUGUCUUGCGUCCCGGACCCCACGCUGGCCCGCAGGCCUUGGGGCGGAGGCCUUUAUCUCCUGGGCAGCCAGCUGGGCACAGCAGCGGCCACUUCUGGUCGUGGUGAUAGUGUGUGUGGUGUGUGAGUGUGUGUGUGUGAGUGUGUGUGAGUGUGUGUGUGUGUGUGUGUGUGUGUGUGUGUGUGUGUGUGUGUGUCGGGGAGACCGGGUGAGGGAGGGUGCCCACCUCCUCCUUUCAGGGCGGCCCCCAAACGGCCCUACAGUUUUCAGUGGCUUUCCCCAUGGAUCAUGGGGGACGCUCUCCUCCCGGGGCCAGGCUGUUGGCAGCCGUGCCAAGCCGUUCCUGGAAUGGAAUUCCCAGCGUUCCUGGUCGGGCGCGUGGCAUCGGAAUCCUACCUGCUUUGUCUCUGGCAUCAGCUGGUGAGCUAGUCACGUGGCCGCGUGCGUGAGACCAGAGCCCGAAGAUCAGAGGGCGCCUCCUGGCCUCUUCCUUCUCGCUCCCCCCCCACCCCCCGGCCUUGUGCUUCGGGUAUGGCCAUCUCUGCACAGGCAUAAAGCAGUAUUAAAAUAAAACGUCCUCCAGGCAGCCGGGGCGCGGGGGGAGCUCCCAGCCACAGAAAGGCCCGUAAGCCGGGGAGCAACCCAGGGCCCACGAGCGAACUCUGGCCUCGGCGGCCCAGCCUCGGUCACUCCACGCGGUCCCUUCCACCCCCAGAGCUGGCCCUGCCUGCCCGGGGACCCUGCCCACACUGGCAGCCUUGUGGCUCACCCUGCACAGGGACAGCCAGGCGGUCAUCGCCUCAGCUCCUGGCCACAGAAAGGGCCGAUGGAGAGACCUGGGCAGGCUGGCCAAGCGGCCACGGCCCGUGCCUGCAGGAGAGGGCCGCCGGGCCCGGUAGAUCUCCAAGUGAGAGUGCCUGGGUUAGAACCUCAAGCCCAGUGACCCAGGCCAGGCACGGGUCACCUUUCCUCGCUGUGGUGGAAGAUUUGCCUCGGUGAAACUGGUGGAUUUGUGACGGUCUGAAUGGGGUGUGGUGAUGGGCCUGGAGCCCGACCCUGGGCCCCUCGCCGCGGCCUGGCUGUGUGCAUUUUUCAUUGUGUCGUCACAGCAGCCCUGAGUGGCUGGAGCUGAGACCCCCGUCCCGUGUACUCAUGGGGAAACUGAGGCCGGGAGAGGUGGCGUGGCUUGCCCGGGGUUAGGUGGCCACUUGGACCCAAGGCUGGGUUCAAGCCAGUGGUCCGGCUCUCGAGCCUGACGGCAUAACCUCCCAGGGCAUCGGCUAGAGUGGGCUCGCUCCAGGGGAUCCCGGGGAGCACAGCCGGGGUGCUGGCUGCCGCCUGCCCCUCGGCCGGGCCCAGCGUGGGAACAAUGUGGCCUCUAUCCCCGGAGCAGCCCAGCCAGGCAGGCGGCUCGCAACAUGGCGCCCAGGGCCGCGCCGCCUGUCCACGGGGAGGGCUGGCGCCCGGGCACGGCCCGGCUCCCGGCGUCCUCCUCAGGCCGGCCGCUGAGUGGCCAGACGCUCCUGCUGCCCCCUCCCUCUCCCGCUUGGCCAGCCGCCCCCCCCCCCCGGUGGUGGGUUUCGGGGUCCGGCCCACCCGCCUCUGCCACGUCUGCCAUCCUCCCGGCACCCAUGAGCAUCUUUCAAAAAUUCCCGGUGGGCGGGGCUGAGCCGUAGCGGCCGCCUCUGGCCCCCCCUCCCCGGGCAGCCAGUGCCAGAUGAGAGCAGGAGACAAAAGUAGCAUUUUCCUCGUCCUCCUGGGCUGGCAGCGGGGCCUCCCCAGCACCACUUGGCUCUGGCAGCCCUGCCUCUGUGUGCCGGGGUGGCCGAGGCCCAGGCCGCGCCGGCCAGGACCGAGGAACCGAUGGACGAUGGUGGCCAGAGACCAGGCGCCUGAGGGCCUGUUGGACGGGGGCUGGCACCUGGGCACGGCCUGCUGGCCAGCGGCCCCUGCCCUCCUCUGCUUGCCACGGGGACCAGCCGGCCGGGUGAGGGACACCGUUUUCACUUCCCUGCUUUUGAGAACCUCCGCAUCCUGCACCUCGGGUAAGUCUCCUUCUUCCCUUCUCUCGCGCUGGAGAUAAGCCGAGGGCUCUGCCAUCUUGUGCUCGGUGCCUGUUACGUUUCCUUCCCUCUAAUUGGUUAUCCGAAAUUCAAAAUUCUAUUUCAGACCGCCCCCAGCCCCCCACAUCUUCAGUGAAGUGAGCCCUUCCAAAAACUGCAGGGAAGAUGCAGCAGCCGGACCCAUUUAUUUUUAAGACCCAAAGCUGUAGGCUUCAGAAAUCACAAUAAAAAUGAAUGUUUGUUAUUUCACAGUAGCUGCAUGUUCAAUUAUAAUUUGAACAAAUGUUUCAGGAGGCAUUAAUAGGCACGGCCUACUCUCUCGUGCUCAGUUAUGUCGGUUUUCUGGGGGGAGGUCUUAUCAUCAUCCUCAUUAUUAUGAUUUUAAUUUUUGGCGACGCCAGGAGUGGCAGAGGGAAAAACACCAGAAACAUCCAUGCUCCUCCCAGCAAACUCCUCGGCAGGCAGGGCCAGGCUGGCACACGGGAGGGUGGAUUCUGCUUUGAGAAACAGAGGCCCUUUCAUUUUGUCCGGCAUCUUUAAUGCUGCCAUGUCCACAGUUGAGCGAUCCAGUUUCUUUCUCCCUUUUAUUUUAUUUUAUUUUUUGGGAGGGACGGGGGAUAAAAGGAAGCUCUUUUCGGCUCUCAGCUUAGUGUGGGGAAAAUCUUUUAGGUUGUUUUGGGCUUUGUAUUUUAAGCACUUAUUUAAGCCCGGGGGUUCCAGCUAACAUUGCUGUGCCGGUUCCUAACCACCCUGCCCACAGACGGCUUCUGGGGUGCAUGUGGGCACGUCCACCAGACCAACCCUUGGGGGCCCUGAGUGGUCCCAGGGCCUGCCUGUGCCCUGAUCUCAUCCUGGUUUCGCAUUUGCAGAGCUGUGGCCCAAGGCAUCCUGACCAUCCAGGGCCUGAACCGUGGCCAGCGGGGCAGGGAGUAGAGUCCCUUGAAGACCUUUGGGUCCCUGGGCCACGCCACCACUGCCGUCUGGGAGCUGGGUUCCGUGACUGCCUGAGUUUCUCUGUUGGUCCCAGAACCUUUGCAUUUAAAAGGUGGGCUUUGCAGGGUUCGGCUCGAGUUCACCUCCACCCUCUGGCAGGCUGACAAAAGCACCGCAGACACGGCCCGGUUUCCCCACGUUUGAGGGUAGCAGCCAGGGUCUUGAUUUAUGGAAAAUGGAAAAUCAGGCCCCGAAAGUUCCGAAUUGCAACGAAGAGGAAAAUUCCCACGUGAAUACGUUUUUGUUUUCCUGAUUCGGAGGCAUUGGGGUCCUGUUUGUGCAGGCCUGAGCAGCUGGCUGGAGCAGACACCACCAAAUAUUGAGACUGAGCUCGGCGCGCACGAGGAGUAUCUGCGCCUGCUUUUGUUCUUAGAUUCGACAGCAGUCGAUCCUGGAGGAUUUGGGGCUGCAGAUACAGGCGUAUAGAGCAGAGAUAAUUAAAACAUUUUCAUGAUUAUGACAGCCACAUUCUGCUGCUGCGAGCUGGAAGAUCACUCCAGCCAGAUAUUUAGGAAGCACCAGAUAAAACACUGGUGACAAAAUAAAAGUAAUAGAAAAAAAACUGUGAUAAAUUCUAAAGGCAAAAGAGGCAACAGGAUAGAGAGAGGUUGGUGGGGGGGGAGGGAAGGUUCAUCAUUUUUAAAGAAUUUAUACUUUUAAUAGCUGCCCACUCCUCGUUUUUAAAAUUUGUAUUAUAAUAAAAUUAUAGUUUUAUUAUAAUGAAUGUAGGUGAAUAGGCCUUUAAUCCUAAAUCCUGAAAUGACAGGCAGAUUUCCUGAGCAUUAACUCGUCUUAUUUUUGGACAAGGUAGAGGCAAGCGGCGUAAAGUCAAUUAAUUUCCAUAAAUGAGCAUUUUCAUCCUAAAUCAGUAUUUUCCACCGAGAUUAUGUUCAAUCUAAUGGUUUUAAUAUAUAUGGAUAACACAUUCUCCAGCAUACACCUUAUAUAGUUGAGAUAGUUACAUGGGAUCGAUUAUCACCUUCGUUUUUUAACUCUGGUAAUAAUACUUUACCUCCCCCAAAUCAGUAAAAUUCCACAGAAUCUUUUUUUUUUUUUUUUUUUUUAAUCAGGCAAAAGUAUCAGCAUUCUCCAUGGCACCCAGUACUUCUCAGCAGUAUUUUUUUUUUUUUUUUAAGAAAGUACCACACAUAGCAGUUUUCACAUCAUCGCUUCUAUAUAAAUUCCACUAUAGACUGAAAUUAUACAUUCUCACAGCACAGAUGGGCUGGUCUGUCAUUAUGACUGCCGGGUCCUUGUUGGAACACACAGCAUAUUUCAAUUGUGGAGUCGACAAUUUCGAAGAACUGAGGUCAAAAUAAACAAGUUGCAUUUGCGUUUAAAAGCAGUCUUAUUAAAUGAUCUUCUGAUCCCCUGAAAAAUUUGGUAGCAAAACAACCAUCACCUUUAUUAAAGUUUAAUUGAAAAUUUGGUCUUCAUCUGCAUCUUUUUAAGACUCCAAAUGCCCUAUGGCAAAGGACCUUAAAUGUUCAAAUUAAUUACCAAUUUUUAUCUUUUUUUACAUCCUGAACAGCCUAACACUAGAUUUAUAUUAAAAAUGACAGGGUUUGGGACUUCUGAUUUUAAUAUCUUCAUAAUCUCUGUAGGAAAGACAUUAAACCUUUUGUUGUUCUAUGUACUUUCAUGCAAUUAUUUUGAGAAGCUUCUGAAAAAUCAGAUGAUAAGUAUCUUGCAUGGUCUCAAGGUCCAUUUAAGUCCAAACUGAAAAAGAAAAUUCAACAGGUAAACUACAAACACUAGCUAUAAACUUAAAAAAAUUAUCUCGCAAGAUAACAAUGCAGAAUUUAUUGGUCCAUAUCAACACACGUGAGGGCAGAGCAGUUUUACAGCCACUAUAAUUUGCAAAUGAUGAUAACUUUAUUUUGUGAAUUUGCUCACGUUGGGAGGUAAUCGGUUCUGAGGGUUCUUUUUCCGCCCCCGCCCUGUCUUGAAAUGGUCACUUCUGCGUGUCUUAAUUCUGGAUUCAGGCUCCGCAGCUCUCAGCCUCCGAGGCCCUUCCUGGCCAGGAGCAGCUUCCCCAAGUGUCUGCCGUGCUGAAUGAGAGAAGGGUGCUUCCCUCUGCCGUGUCCUGAAUGCGCCCAACACCCUUCCAAUUGUGGAACUUCCAAAGUAGAAGUGCUUUGUUGCGGCUUGUUUAUUUUAAGGAAUGUACCUGUUGGCGGAGAUGUUGGGGAGUAAUAGGAAAAGUGAAAUGUUGAUGAAAUUUGCCAGAGCCGUUUGGGAGCUGCUCUCUGUAGCGGCUGUGCUCUCGGAUUUUUUUAACCACUUCAUCCUUUCUGAUGUUGGUCUUUGACUCUUGUCUCUGCAUCAGAAAUGUGUUUAUUAUCAGCCCCGUGAAUGUGGCACUGGUCUGGGGCUCUCAAAGAUGAGGCACAGGGAAGCAUCCCAGCCUUCCCGGGUCAGAGCUUCAGAGCGAUGGCGUCAUAGUAACGACAGUGGCGGUGGCAGUGGUAGUCAUGACAAUACUCCACCGUGUGCUUCGCACCAUGCCAGGCUUUUUCGUGUUUGGAAAAGAAGGGUGGGUGGAGGAGAGCAUGAGCUCCAGAACUCGUGGCUGGGGUUCAAGCUGAGUCAUUUAUAGUUGCUGGCUGUGCUGAUCAAGGGUGAGCCAUUUCACCCCUCUGUGCCUCAGUUUCCCCAUCUGUAAAACGGGGACAGCAGGUGCCCCCACCUCACAGUCACACACAUAAAGCCCUGGACGCGACACUUAGUUCAUAGAGAGCAGCCCAUGAUCCUGUUUAUCCUCGAUUUAUUUCUGAGUUUCAGAAAUGCCCGCAAGGUGGGGGUCAUCAUCGCCGUUCCUCCAGGGGAGGCCCUGAGCCUUAGAGGGUCAACCGUCUGAUGAUGGUUGGGAUGGAUUCGAGCCCGGGCCUGCCGCCCUCCAAAGCCUGUGUGCCUUGUGCAUUAAGUGAUAGUGUGGACACGCGUGUCUACGCAGCAGCCCGAUGUGGAUGGCGUGCCUUUGCCAGUGUGUGUGCACCCUGACGGUACUGUAACACGUGUGCUACGCACGGCUGUCCUGUGCUCCCUGGUCCCUGGGCCACCCCGAAGAUGCCUGGCCGGGCGUUCCACUGCCCACUGGAUGGGCGGGUCUCCCAGCGCUGGGUGGACGGGCACCCAGGUGCGUGAAGCUGGGCCGGCUGCACUCUGGGCGUCGGCCAGUCACCCUCGUUCUCCUCAGAGAGGCAGGCCAUUCCGGACGCCGGCCAUUUGCAGACCCGGAGGACUGGCAUCGGGCCUCCAGCCCAGGAGAGGAAAUGGCGGCGGGGCAGGCCCAGGACGGGAUCGGGGAAGGCGGCCGAGGGCGGGAGCGGCCGGAAGGCCUGGGGUGGGCGCGUCAUCGUGCCGGCACCCUCCUCCGGCGUUAGAGCCAGCCUUCCGUGCAGGUCUGCAUGUGUGUGCACGUGUGUGCACACGUGUGUGCGUGCGCCUGCGUGCCAGGCUCGGGCCCCUGAGCCGCACACCCAGGAGCCUGAGCAGGCCGUUCCCCCCACCCCAGGAACACGGCGGGGACUGGGCGGGGGGUUUGAUGAGACGGCGUUAACCCCCAGCCCACCUUUGGGCAAACAAGGCCUCGAUAAGGAUGGUUCUUACUGCCAGGCCUUGAUGUCAUCUUUAAAGCGGGGCGACAGCGUCGGCCUCGGGGCGCGGUCAGACGCGGCAAGUGGGAGCCUGUCUGGAGGCCGGGUGGCUGGCCUGUUUCGUCCUUCGCUGUGGCCUCGAGGGAAGAGCCUGGAGGCCUGGGCGUCCAGGUGAGCUGCCUGCCCCUCUCGGCCUCGGUUGCCCCGCCCGUGAGGCAGAGGGUAAGUCCUACCCACAGGUUUCUCAUGGAGGAAAACGACGUCACCUGCCAUUGACGGGAGCAGGUUUGGGGGGCCCGGGAAGAGGGUCCUGCCUUGGGUCCCUGUGACUCUCGGGGGACUCGAUGGGACGCAGGAGCCAGGCCCCCAACCCCAGAAGGGAGCCGGGGGUGGCUCCGGGGGUCCUGGCUGCUCCAGCGUGUGCGCCAGAACCUCUGGCCCAGUUUCCUGGGCGCCGGCCCCGCCCCGGCAUUCCUGCGGUGGGUGUGCUCGCGCUUCCGGCCGCCGUGGGCGGAGGGAUCCUGGGGGCAGGCGGCCAGUUCCCGCCGUCCCGCCCGCCAGAGCCUCCCUGUUGUGCUGCUUCCUUCAACUCGAUGGGACGAGGGGUCCCACCUGAGCCCGCCGCGCCGGGUCCAGGCCAGCGGACCCCCACCGUGGCGGCCGAGGCCUCCAGCGGCUGCGUGGGGGGCUCGGGGUGUGGAGAGGGUGCCCUCCGGCCGGCGCCUUUGUCACUGCGAACGCGCAGUAGUAAGUCGCCAGCACUUCCGAGGCUCUCGGCACCGGGUGGGUGGGUGGGUGUGCCUCGAGGGUCUCAGCUUCGGGCCGGGUGCCCCUGCCCGGCCUGUGACCAAUGCCAGCGGCCCGUGACCAAUGCCAGCGGGAGGCCCAGGGAAACAACUUCCAGGUGGUGACUCCUGGGCCCGGCAGCGUGGCCGGCCACCACGGCCCCCAGCCUCGGCGGUGCCACGAGGGACAGGCGUGCCCUGCAGUCAGUGUCCAGUUGCCAGGGGAGGGGUGAGAGAGACCGGCUGGGGCAGGACCAGCGGGGGGACCCAAGUGGCAGAAAUCCCCUGCCUUGGCCCGCUGGAGAGAGGCGGGGGCCGCACUCGUCUCCCCCAUGGGAGGCCGGCCGAUGUCCGAUAUUGCAAACAGGACUCGGCUCCCUGGGGUUGGGGGGAGCUGACCUUCGUUGACCUACUAAGUGCUAGGCCCAGGGCUGAGUACUUCUUUUUGUUUUAAUUUUUUCUUCAGUUUUUGGCCACACCACGUGGCAUGCGGUAUCUUAGUUCCCCGACCAGGGAUCGAAUCUGCGCCCCCUGCAGUGGAAGCGCGGAGUCCCAACCACUGGACCGCCAGGGAAGUCCUCAGGGCCGAGUACUGUAAUCACCUCUUUUUAAACAUCCAUUUUUAAAUUUAAUCUGCCCAAUUCCGUUUUGUUUCAACAUCCAAUCAGAGCCAGCACGUGCCAGCGCUGUUCUGGUGGCGGAAUAGGGCACAGACAAGGCACCCGUGUGGAAGGCGGGUGUGAACGGUUCUCUCUCUGAGAAAACCAAGGCUCAGAGAGGCCAAGGAAUGUCAUCAGAGUCACACAGCUAGCAGGCGACAGAGCCUGCACCCAAACCCAGGUCCGUGACUGCAAGACCCACACCCUUCCCCCCCCCGCCCCCCGCCCCGGCCGGGGAGCAGCGCGCACGGGAUCCGUCUCGCAAAUGCUGACCUCGGCGCGUUCUCCCCACAAAGCCGUCGCCAGGCGGACCUGCCCUUCGGCGUGGAGUUCUGCCCCAAGGGAGAGCCAGGAUUUGCCUCCGUCCCUCCCCUCCUGAGGAGCCAUAGACUGUGGUGGUUCUGGGGGCCCCCAGGACCCGUCUCUGCCUGGGUUGCUGUUUCUCUAGGAUCUCGGGCCUGCCGGUUGGGCUGACGAAGCCCCUGGCGCCCUCCAGGCCUCUGUGCUCAGCGUGCUGGCCGGGCGUGGACAGCACGCAGCGUGGCAGCAGGCGAUGGGAAGGAGGGAGCCGCGGGUCGUCCUUCCUCCCAGUGUUCCUGCGGCCCAGGGUGGGGAAGCGUACGAGGUUGUAGGCCCAGGUGACGUCAGCAGCUCUACAGAGGGUUUAACACUCAGACACCAGGAGUCAAACCUUCGGGAGGUGCUGUAGAAACCCGAAACAGGCAAGACCAUUUUGCAGGCUUGAGCGUUCUCAAAACGGUCCUUUCUGCCUUGUGCCAAAUCCAGACCCUUCCGUUGUACGGGGAGCCUGCUGUGUAGACCAGGAGCCCAGGGGUUUUCUCAGGGUUUUCUCCUGGGGGCUUGUUGCAGGCACGAUUCAGCGUCUGAAGGACCCUGACCUCUCUUCCGUGGAGACGCACUCAACUUAUCUUGGGGUCCGUGGACUGGCCGGGAGUUGGGUGUCAUCGGCACCUGCUGAGGUCUGCUCCAUGGCCGCGUUCCCAGGGUGAGGGGGCUCCCACAGGAAGGAGCCAUGGAAUUUGACCGGAGAUUAAAUUUGAGAGGCCGACAGCCAGCCAGAUCCCGCGGACCCACGGUGGGGAAGGCCGGGCUCGGCUGUGGGCGGCCGUGCCCGCCAGGCUCCGCUUGACGUGUCGGGUGCCCAGUGACCUGGCUGUGAACGCAGCGAGCAGAGGCAUGUGCCGUGCCCCCGACGGAAUCCAGAGGGCUCUGGAAAACUACCCGAGAGGUUUCCGGAGAACAUGGCUGGUCCCAGAGCACCCCCGAGAAAGUGCACACCUGUCGUGGCCUUCAAAAGACGCUCCAGGACCACACGGCCAGGUGGACGGUGUUUGCCCUGCGUCUGGGUGGUGAGGCAGCCCAGGAGGUGAGCAGCCUGGCCGGGAGGGGAACAUGGACCCGGUCUUGGGAGACCCCAGCACCAGCCCCUUCCUCGCAGGCCCCAACCUGCAGCCAGCCGGGCCCACCCUGCCCAGAGUUCCCGAGGGCCGGGCUCGGCCUGGCCCCCGGCAGGUGGAAGAGAUCCCGCUCCGCCACCAGGAGCGAGGGAGUAGAGCAAAGGAUUCCCUGUCCACUCUGGUCCCGCCAAGCCCCGCACCUGCCCUGUGGCCCGAUUACGGCGCUGGCCGGCUGGCCUCCUGGAAGCAGAUGGAAGCAGGGAGGCCCCACCCAGUUCGCUGGCACAGAGACUCCCCUGAACCAGCUCUGUGCUGUCAGCGCCCAUGGCCCCCAGCCCACCUCUGACGAGCCGUCCAGCUGGGUGGGCUUCGUUGGUGCCCUGAGCCUCGGUUUACCCGUCUGUAAGACUUAGGCAGGAAGACCUCCUAGCAGAGUUUGGGGGUGCACAGCCUAGAACACCCGUGGCUUCGGUGAGGGCCUGGGGGUGGGACACAGCCUUUGCCCCCGAGAAGCAGCAGGGGUUUAUAACCCACCGAAAGACAGAAAACUCCUCAACGUGGCGCUCUCCUGGCCUCCUCUCCCUUCGCCGGAGCUCAGCAGGGCCCGGCCUCAUCUAUUCGUUACCUUGGGUUUAUCGUGCUGGGGGCUGGGUGAGAGGAAGGGGUGGGUCGAGGCGAAGCCAGCUCCUGCCCCGUGCAGCGUGGGGACUUGUGGCAGCCUCUGCUCCAAGUGGCCAGGGGACUUUGUUAGCAGCAUCUCUGAGGCAGCCAGGAGGGUUUCAGUGGCCCAGGAACCCAGGCCUGCUGUGGCCACGUGGCUUCGGGUCAAUUUCACAGGCUUGGGGAGGGCAUGGAGGUGGCCCUGUUAGCAAGGACGCUGCCAGAGGUGGCUGAGUAGGGAGAGGCGACCGCUCUGGGUCCUCAGGAUCUUAGCAGCUCUACGGGUGGUCGUGGGUCUGUUUGCACAUCACCGGGACAAGGUGCCCACCUGCCGGGGGGUAUUCCAGACCCCCGAGGUUCUCUGUCAGUGUUACAAAGCGUCUCCUGGGACAGCAUCUGAGGGCUCAUGGGAAUGACCACACUGUAGCAGAAGACUGAGCCACAGCCUAGGGUCAGACUGCCGGGCCCCAGCCUCACCCCACCUUCCCUGCCGUGUGAUCAUAGGGAAGCCAUGGCCCCUGCCUGGGGUUCUGUUUUCUCAUUUGCAAAAAGGGCGUCCCUACUUCUCCCUGCCUCCUUACCAGACACCAAAGAGCAGAAGGGGAUGCCAAACCUGGCUGAGAAGCGGGGGUCUGGCUCGGGACCAAUCACAGCCCACCACUUGCAGAGAUGAAGCCUGCUACGCACACGGCCCUCACCAGUCGUAUAGGCAGGAAGGGAACUAAGGUGUUAUUUGUUUUCUUUUUUCUUUAUGUCGUGCCACAUUAGAAAUAUAUGUGUGAAGCGGCUUAGAGCAAUAUUGACAAUGCAGAAGAGUAAAAAUAAACAGCUGAGGAAAUUGGGGCAAAGGGAAAAUCGCAGGUAGGCCUAGAGAGUCCAUGUCAUGUAGGCAUUUCCCAGUUCUGUCAGUUCAGCUCUGAGCUUCCUAGCAGCCAAAGCAAAGAGGGAAAGACUAUCCCUUGCAGGAAGUGCUGUUUAGGGAGUCCUGUCUCAGCACAGUGAUGCUGAGAGAGAGCUGCCUGGUGCAAACACUCAGGGUUACCCCAGAGGCCCCAGUGAGGCCGGGCAGAAAGAGAGGGAGGGAACUCCCUCAUGCUCAGCACAGCUGCACCCCUCCAUCAUCCUGAGCAUCUCACACCUUGUUUCAUUUAGUUCUCCCAAACCCUAGAAACCUAGGUUGAGAGAGCGGCAGUGAGGACCCCCAGCCCUCUCUGAGCCUGACUUUGACCUUGUGUCUCUCCGUCCCCCAGAUCUACAUUCUUGCAGCCACACCUGCUGCCCCUUGGAGAAGGUGACCCCAGAAAACCAGGGUGUUUCAGCCCCAGUGUUUUGGGCACAAAGUCACAUUGAUGCAAUGGUCUCCUGGCCGAUAACGUCCCCCUGCGAGGCUCUGAGUGACCCCUGAGCUGUGCUGGGCCUCGCGGAGUCUUAGGGCAGGGUGGGCCAGAGCCAGCAGGGUACAGAUGCAGGGCGUGCACCCCGCACACACCCAGGGCUCCUUCCCAAGACUUACCCAGCACCUCUCUCUGCUCCCAGGUCUCACCCCUUCUUCCCGGCACCCUGGUCCCUGGCUGACACCUGGAGCUUGGACGACCGUGCCACCCUCAGGUCAGCGCAGCGUUUCGAGCUCCCCACCCCCUUCCUCCAGGCGCCACCCUGGGCUGGGCAUGCCUGAAAGGACACACGCACAUGUGUCGCACACGCAUGUGCACACACGCGCACACGCCCACACGGCCUCUGGAGGAUCGCUGGGCGGGUACUUCUCUCACAUUUGCUCGGGCUCAGCUGCGGGCGCUCCCCCCGCGCCUCUGCCCUCCCACCAGCCUCUUUCUGCGGCCGAGGGACCAGGGUCAGUAAGGAGUGAGGGGCUCGCCCAGGUCUCACCCCGGGAAGCUGGACCCGUGACGUCUUCCUGGCCCCCCCUGCACAUAAGCUGAAUGAACCCCCUUUGCAAGGAGGCAGCCACCGCAGGGCUCCGGGGUGGGGGGGCUGGGGCCAAGCGCUGGGGACCAGUGACUGCUGGGCAGAGCUCAGGGGCUCGGCAGGUGAGGAGGUCCCAGCCUGCCCCUCCGCCUCGUGCCCUGCUGGGGCUGCGGUGCUCAGAGUCUACUGGGCCCCCCGCCCCCGCCCCGCCCCCUAGCACCAGCCCGCCGUGCAGACUGUCAGGCCCACUUGGCUGCUUGCAGCCUCCUGGGGAGUCUGUGGGGCCGUGAGGGUCGGGGCCAGACUGGCGGCGUCUCCCUCCCCUCUGUUGCCAUGGCCAGGGGCAGGCCUGCCUCCCAGGGCUGUGUGGAGAGGACCCGGGACCCCUCUGCCAUCUGGGUCUCAUGUGUUUACAGGUCCAGCUUGCCCGCCAGACUCCGCAGACACCGCCCCGGGGCUUUUGUGUCUGCACGCAGGGCAUGCGCCAGCCGGUGCCCGAGGGUGGGGUGGGACACGGGUAGGGAGGGGGGAGGUGCCCCCUGGGGACAUCAGGGACAGAGGGGAAAGGGGGACAUGAGGGGGUAUAGCAUGGGAAAGGAAGAACAGAGCAGAGGCAGAGAGCAGGGCUGGGCACAGGGAGAAAGGAGACCCAGCAGAGACUGACCGCGCGGCUGUGUCUGGGAAGACGGUGCCUUCCCGGCUUUGCUCAAGGCCUUCUAGCACAGGUGCUUUUCUCGGCGCCCGCCGGGAGAUCCCCUCAAUGUCCCACGGGCAGCAGUGGCAGCCUCCUGGGUCCAGAUGAAACGUAGGCACUGAGAGGUGCAUCCCUCACACAGGCUCGGGCACCCGAGUGAACCGGGGACCGAGCCCCAGGCCCUGACGGACACUCGCAGGAGGCCACGAGGGCACGUCCCCAGGAGUGGGGAGGGGCUCCCGGGCCAGGGCGCUGGUGGCUGUGUGAAGCGGCCGAGGUCCAGGACAUACUGUGCGACGGAUGGGAGGUGGGGCCAGUGCGCACAGUUGGGGCUCACUCAGUGCUCGUCCAGGGCCUGAGGAACCACCAGGACGACCACACAGCCCGGUCACCGCAAGGACGAGUGCGUGCCCGGGGCUGGCGGGGAGGGCCGCCCCUCCGUGUGUGCACACCCUCCUCGUUGCACCCGGGACCACCCUGUGCACCCAGAAAUGGGAGCUUGGGGGCUGGGAGCAGCCCAGCUCCGGCCUCGUCUGGGGUUCUGGAGGUUCUUUGGGGGCCAGGCGAGCCCUUUGGGCUGCUGGCUUGGGCUGGGAGAGCAGUGAAGGGUUAGGGGGACAGUGACUCACUUGGUGGGGUUUGUUUUCGCACCGACUCGUAAUUGUUCUCCUGUGAGUCUGCCCGGACUCGGCCCAGGACGGGAGAGGUCUGGGCCUGGGCGGCGCCCCGGCCUCUUUCCCUGCCCCCGUGCCCUGGUGCCUCACCCACGUUGGGCAGCAGACAGGAGCCACGUGGGCCCAGUCAGCACCCUGUGCUGGCCAGUUUUCUGAAGGGAAUUGUCCCUGUCCUCCCUGGCACCCUGGGUUCCUGGGAUAGAGGCUACCCCCGUUCGUUCUUUAGGAGUUGGCGUGAAUGUGCGUUCACGGGAAAUCAAGGCUUGGGCGAUGGGCCCCCAUCGCCCCAUGGCAGAGCCACGUUCGGAAGCUGUAUCUGCUGGGCCUAAUACGGCCCCGUGUGUAGGGCCAGAGCCUGGAGAAGGGGCCCCACGGCGAUGCCAAGACGUGACCCCCAUCUGCUCUGCAGAUGCACAUGUGGUACCUAAUCUUUUCACCCGUGGACAAAGGGGGCCUCCAAGCCUAAGGGGCAGGAGUUUGUUCUAACAUCAAACAUCCAAGUGUCCUUUAUUUAACCAGAGAGAAAAAUUAAGGCCCUAAAUACCUGGCACUUGGUCUUUUUUGGUCCCGGUGAAGACACUGACAAAACGCAAAAGGCCGGCUUCCGCUCAGGGCUUAGCUGUUGGCGCUGAGCAGUGCUCUCUGGCUGGGUGCGGUGGACCCCGGACGGGAGGAGGACGGGGGCAGGGAUGCCCACCCUGAAAGCCACGCCUGGACCAGGUGACUUGGAUUGGUUGGCUUUCGCGAAGCACUUUCUGUCCUGUGGGCCGGGCCCCGAGCCCACGCUCUUCCCGCGCAGGUCAGUCUUCACGACAACCCUGCCAACGGGCAUCUUUCGGUGCCACUUUGCUAUGGGGGCCGAGGCUCAGGGAGGUCAAGGGCCAGCCCCGGGCCACUGAGCCAGGAGCGAGCCGCCCAGCAGGGGAGGUGGAAACACCUCCGGGCUCUGGGAAUGCGUGGCAUCCCCGAGGUGUCGGGGCUGCCACACAUCCCGAGAGGCCGUCUCCCUGGGGGGCAGGCUGAGCGGGGGCUGGGGGAGGGCUGGGGUGGCCCCCAGUGUGGACUAGAGAGUUUAUAAGGGGUCUCCCUGCUGGAGUGAAGCCAAGAGGCCCUCAGACCCAGUGACGCCGGGGCUGCUGCCCGUGCAGCCCGGGUUUCCUGCCCCGGCCUGAGCUCAGCUGGGUACUUGUCUUCAGACGUUUCCCCUGUCGGAGGCCUUGUUCCCCAGAAGCUCAGCUGUGUCCAGCCCUGACUGGGGAGAGAGCAGGCUCCCGCUCUGUCCCCCGGGCCCGGCUCUGGGCUGCCCUUCUCCAAGAACACGGCGCCCGCUCAGCCUGGCUGGCCUGGGGGAACUGGGGAGCCAGAAGGCCCUUGGCCGUUCACCCCGAGGAAGGGAAAUUGAGUGUCUCAGGUGGGGGCUCCCUGGGGUUACCCAGGACAGGGGGUUCUGCUCUCUCCUAGUAGCGAGACCUCAGGCAGGUAGGUGGAGACGUCUCCGGGUCUUCGUUCCCUCAUUCCUGUAACGCCAGGGAGGCCGAUGACGCCUGUGCUGGCGGUGUGACUGUGGGGAAAUAACUUAGCCUCUCUGUGUUCAUUCCCUCACCCCCAGAUCAGGUUGUAAUGAGGACUGACGGAGCUCCCCAGUGCGAUGGGCUUGGGUCAGUGCGUCGAGCGUUCCAGGGGACAGGGUGUUUGCCCUUCCCCGGUUUCCAACGGGGAGUGUGUGCCCCAGGAAGUGCUACUACGUGUAUUUGCAGCAAUAUCGGGCCAACAGGGAUUCGAACCCUGAGCCCUGUGGCUGGGAUGCUCGCUCUGCCCCACUGAGCUCCCCACCCCCGUGGGGCAGCCCGCAAGGAGCAGCCACUCCCGGGGGAGGUCUUCGGGGAGGACGGUUGUUUGGUUCGUGCCUGGGGGGUUGUCAGUACAGCGGUGGUCAUACAAGCGAGGGGGACAGUGGCUCCAGCGCUCCGUGCCAUGCUGAGUCACCCUUUAGAAAAGGCACUGGCUCCCCCUAAUUCCACUGUCUUGUUCCUUGACCCAGGCCCCUCACCGGCUCCUGACCUGCCCGUCUCCGUCAGAGCGCAAGGCCAGCCGUGCCCCCCGGUGCGUGAGUAGCACCUCCGCUGACGGUUGCUUUUCGAGGGCCCCACUGCUGCCCGCGGCCUGGGUCAAGAAGUGGCACUGAGAUGGGAGCAUCUAUCCGAGGCCAGCCUUACUCAACGGUGAGCCGAGCGUUAGGGCUCGCGGGGACACCUCACAGCUGUCCCACUCUUCCCAGCCCAGCCAGAGCCCACAGGAGGCCUCGCCCUGGGCCCUCGUGCAGGAGACAGGCGCACCCCUGGCCUCGGUGUGGGUGCACGGCCACUCCUGCUGAAUGCCCAGAGGACUGUCACAGGACACAGGACAGCACAGGUGACAUCUGCACUGCACGCCCUUCCCACCAUCCUUUCUCUGGGAAGCACGGGGGAGUUUGUAGUGGGGAGGGAUGUGGUCAGAGCUGUGUCCCACGAUGCACUUGUGACCUCAGGCUGGACGUGGCCUGACAGAGCCGUGGUCUGCCGCAGGGUGUCUGCAUGGAAGAGGAACGCAGGCCCCGCCUCCCUGUGCACCGCGAGGGCCCGUCGCCCCCUUUUCUCCAGCCGUCCGCUGCGAUCCUAAUACACAGGCCGCUGAUGUCGACCUGAGACGCACACAGGUGAGUCUGGCCUGGAACAGAAAGGCUGAAUGAGGGGAACCAGUCACAUCUGCUUCUCCCAGCUGGGCUGGGGGUCGGGGUGCUUGUGGUGACAGCCAGGGAGGACCGGGUGUGUGUGUGUGUGUGUGUGUGUGUGUCAGUCUCCCCCCUCUCUUUCCCUGCCUCUCCCUACCCCGUGGAGCCCAGCCCGGGGCUGGGCUGGGGCCCUCAUGGGGUCAGCACUGCAGGCUCUGGAGCUGAAGCCCCGACCCAGGGGAGGGCAGGCGGGUCUGAGUAGUGGCACACGCGUGGGUUCCAGCCCAGUGUUAACUACGGGCGGCCUGGCAGCCACUCGGACCCCCUGGGAGCAGCUGCUGCAGGGACCCCGCCUCUCAGUGAGGAGGUCCAGGCCCACGAGGGCCGAAGAGGCGUCGGAGAAGCACGGCGGGGAGGCCGGCCCGGCUUCGCAGCCAGCUCCACUUGCUGGGCUAUCCUGCCCCGUGCCGCCCUCAGCCUGCUAGGGCCAGUGGUCGGAGCCAGGGGGCCCCUGCAGCCUGAGGCCGUUGGAGGUCUCCGGGGCUAAGUUGGGAGCCAGAGCCCGCGCUCAGGGGCCUCCUCAGGGUCACUCCGAGACAUUCGGCAGCACCCUGGCUGGGCGCCGUGUCCUCGGCCUCCCCAGCGAUGAGGCUCACGGCAGCCGCUCACCCCACGGGGCGGCUGCACCAGGCUGCCCGUCCACAAACACAGCCAGAAGCUGCCUGCCUGGACCAUGCAUCGUUGCCAGGAUGGGGGUGCGUCGAAGGAAGGCCCUUGGUCACCCUCUCCUUGCCCCCCGUCCUAGAGGCUGGCUGGCUCUGCCUGGAGAGUCCUUAGGGACACCCUGGUCCUGUCCACAAGCCAAGAAGUCCAAGUGGAGGCCAGGAGACGGGACCUCGAGGCCCUCUCGUGAAGAUUUCCUUCUGGGGCCUCAAGGAAAGACAGGGUUGCCAGUGAGCACAGGCCAGCCAGGUCUUGGGGGGCAGGCUGCGUUGGGGUGUUGCUGGCCCAACUCCCAGGUGACUGCACCUCAGUGUCCCGCGCUAGGUGUGGGCCCUGGUGUCCUCAUCACUAGCGGAGGGUUCUGGGACCAUUUCGUGCCUCUCGGGGUUCAGGGAGCAGCAGUGCCCUGUUUAUUGGGACUGGGCACGAGGCCCCCUGUGCAGUAGUGGGCGAGGCCACGCCGGGGAGAGCCCGAGGGCAAGCCCUGCCCCCUGCCUGGGACCCAUCCGAGCCUCAGCUUCCUCACUACGAAAUGGCAUCGGUGAUCCUAGCUUCACCAGGCCAGUGAAGACCAAAUGGCACAGACCAGCCUUUCCUGGGAGCCAGGUUCCCUUUUGGAAAGUAAGAAUAUUCUAUAGCCUCUCCUGAGAUGGGAAAAGCCCAGGUCACCCUGGAUGGUGGGACCAGACCAAGCAGAGCCCACGGGGAGGGAGUCCACACCUGUCCAGUGGGUGGAGGUGUGUCCUGGGGCAGCAGGGAGCCAGGGGUGGGCGGUGCCGUCAGAGGUGGGGGCCAGGUGGGCAUGCGUAGCCCCUUUUGGACAUGGGUUGGCCUCUAGCAGAUGACAGCCUUCCUCCCAGUGUCACCGGUGCAGAAGUCCCUUGGGGACACCAUGGUCACGCAUCCACUCCUGUCCAGAUGGGACUGAUCCCAUCACCUGUAGCGCUUUUCUGAAAGCCACAUCGCACGUUUCCCUCCCUCCCUCUCUUCCCUCUUUCCUUCUCCCUCCCUGGUUGGUGGUUGUCUCCUGUGGGGCAGCUCCCAGGGUAUGCGGGCCCUCUCCUGACCCGCCUGCCAGUCCCCGUGCCCUCAGCGCCCCAGCACAACCCUGACCCCCGUCCACCUGCUGCUCUCCUCCUUCCCCCUCCAGGAGAUGCCUCUGGGAGCCAUGAUGUCCCUCCAGGCGCCGAGACUGACGGCCCUUUGGGGUGAGGUAGUAGGUUGUAUAGUUUGGGGCUCUGCCCUGCUAUGGGAUAACUAUACAAUCUACUGUCUUUCCUGAAGUGGCUGUAAUAUCGACAGUGGACAGCAUCCAGGACCCUGGCUGCUGGAGGGGGGUGCGGUGGGCAGGGUGGGGGGUGGGGACGCAGCCUCAGCAGGGUGGGCGCAGUGGCUGCCGGGUGGUAAGUCUGACAGGCCUAGGUUCCACUUGUUGUGUGACCUGGGGCCCUUGACCUCUCUGGGCUUCAGUUUCCUUAUCUGUGAAAGGGGGCGGAUGAGGGCUGAGGGCAGUACCGUGUGAAGUGUCCAAGGAGGGCAGGGCUCAGAGUCGACCUCUCCCUCUCCCCACACUGCGCUGAGAGCCGAUGGACCCGACGGGCAGUUUGGGCAGCCCACCCCUCCACCGUCCACAUCCCCGUGCCCCACAUCAGGCUCUUGGGCGGCCCCCAGCCUGGACUUUGCCCUCAGAUGCAUCCCUGCGGCCGGCACUGGGCACCGGGAGGAGUAGCCUCGGGCCCGAGGGGGACGGGCCAGCUGAGGCUUGGCUGGCGUCACAGCCCAGCACCCCAGGGCAGCCCACGGGGUCGGCCUCGAUCAGCACAUCCCCCGAGUCCACAGCCUGCCCAGCUCAGUGUCAGGCCUCUGGUCAGCGGAGGGACGGAGGCCAGGGCUCCCCUCUCCCAGGCAGGGAGUGAGAGGAAUGUCCUCGAGCCCACGGCAGCCCUCGUGGGCACGAGCCCGUUCCACCCCCAGCAAGCGCAGGUGGACUGGCCAGCGUGGGGACCAAGGCGCCGUCUACACGUCCCUCCUCCCCUGCGCCUGCCCAGCCCUCCAGCUCGGCUCUGGUGGCUGCAGACCACCAUGAGGGGCCGGGGCUGGGCCGGGGGCAGCGGCAGGAUGGCGGACCCUCCCAAACCCGGGCACCGGCGGGGUGAGGUAGUAGGUUGUGUGGUUUCAGGGCAGUGAUGUUGCCCCCUCGGAAGAUAACUAUACAACCUACUGCCUUCCCUGAGGGGCCCAGCGUCGUCCCACGGGAGGGCCGCCCCCGUGCUCCGCAGGGGACUCGGCAGAUGACUUGGGGGCCUGAGCCCAGGCCAGGAGGGUGGGAGGCCGCCCUGUGCACACUCAGAUCUCAAUAAAAGCUGCUGUGAUGGGAA